AGUCACUGACAUUAGAUACCCCUGUAGUCCAGGGUGUAAACGCUGCAGACUUGGUGUUGGAAGCCCUUUGGGGGCAUUCAGUGCCGGAGAGAAGUUGUUAAGUCUGCUACUCGGGGAGUACGUCCGCAAGGAUGAAACUUAAAGGAAUUGGCGGGGGAGCACCGCAACGGGAGGAGCGUGCGGUUUAAUUGGAUUCAACACCGUAAAACUCACCAGGGAAGACUGUUACAUGAAGGCCGAGAUGAAGACUCUGCCAGAUUUUCAG
rnacentral:rRNA from 1 species